CGUAAGCCUCACAGAACUAAGCCCCAUACAUGAGCCCCAGGGCGUUUUGCAAGUGCUCCGCCCAGGGGCGAGUCUCAGAAAUGCCUUUUAAAAUACCGAUAGCAAGUAUCUAAUAUGGGAGGACUCCCCCCAUUGAACAAUAGAACCUAGCAAAAGUAAAUAAGGGAGACUCUCCCCUUACAGCCAUAUACCAUGCAUGUGAUUAUUUAGUAUGCUGAAAAUGGUGGGGAACUAAAUCUUUGAGGGGUGUCUGGCCUAACCAUCCCCCUUUCCAAAAUAAUGUUUUUUACCAUCACCUACUUUGAUGUAAAUGUGUUCUAAGAACACACUCUAUAAGUUUCUGAUAUAUUUCCAAUUCCCAAUUCUGCUUAAAGUAACAAUUCUUCAAAAUGGGUUCAAAUCACUAACUUAUUAGCUUAGCUUUCGAGUGUACAUCGACCUUGAAAUUGUGAUGCGGUUCUCUCACUCUAAUAUUUGAUUCCUUUUUUGCCUAUUCUCCAAUUUUUUGCCCAUCUUUUGUUGAUUAUUUUGCAUCUGGUACUUCUCUUAUUUUUCCUUUCUGUACUUUCUGUAGUUUGAUAAGUGACUUUGUCCUAUUUUCUUGAUGCUGUCUAGGUCAAGGUUAAUGGUCAUUAGCUCAGAUCAGCUUUUCAGGCAAUAAAAGGUAAUAGUUGAAACCUGUGAACCACUCAAAGUCUCAAACAAUACAAUCAGGUUAAAGCAACUACGGGAUUCUCUAAUAUAUGGUUAUAGUCAAUCAGUGUUAUAAAUGGUCAACAAUUGAAGCGAUGCCUGCUAUGAAGGUUCAGAUACUAAUUUCUUCCAUUUCAUACUCUUCUUUCUACAUGUUGUCAAUGUCAUUUUAAUCUGCAAAGAUAUCAUAUUGUGUGAUAUUAAUAUCGCAUGCUAUAUACUUAUCAAAGAAAACGAAUUAUAUUGUGUGCUAUACAAGUUACGGUUUUGGUUGUACAUGUUUGAAUCUUAACCAUUUCUGCUCUCUUCAUCUUUCUUUUUAUCAAUGAAGCGAAAUAUCCAGAUCUCUAAAGGAGAAGGGUUGGUGGGAGGCAUUCGGGGAAGUCGGCCCGAUCUGAUAUCUUACGAAAUCAAUAGUAAAUCUACAGCUGCCAUUCUCAAAAAAUAGUAAAUUGACAGCUGCUUUAGCAACUCCAGUAAAGCCAAAAGUCUAGCUAGUGGCUUGCAUUUAAGUCUGAGUUCAGUUCCUAUUGAGAAUAACAUCUUUUACUUCAUAAAGAAAACAGGAAAUCUUUUAUUUUGGAAGCAUUGUUGUAGAAGUAUUCCUAGUGGAUAAUCUAGGAAACAUAACUUUAUUCUAAAGCUAAUUAGUGUUUCCAGUGCAAUAUAUUUUCGUUGCGGUUUUACUCCAAGUCAAGAAGUCUGAAGCAGGGGUGGAUUUAGGGGGGCAGAAGGGGGUUCACCCGAACCUCCUUCGCCGAAAAAUUACACUGUAUAUAUAAGGCAAAAUCUAUUUUUUACCUCUAUAUA